GAUGAACGCUGACAGAAGGCUUAACACAUCAGCAAUUGAUUGGUGGCGGACGGGUAAGUAACGCGUAAAGAACUUACCUCACAGUUAGGGACAACAUAUGGAAACGAAUGCUAAUACCUAAUACGGUGAGAGAGCUUUGCGUCCCAUUAGCUAGUGGGAGAGGUAACGGCUCACGAAUGCGAUGAUGGGUAGCCGGCCUGAGAGGGUGAGCGGCCACAAGGGGACAGAGACACGGCCCUUACUGAUACGGGAGGCAGCAGUGGGGAAUAUUGGACGAUGGACCAAAGUCUGAUCAAGCACUUCUGUGUGCAAGAUGAAGUUGUCGGAAUGUAAAGUGCGUUCAGUUGGGAAGCGGUACUAACAGAAGAAGUGACGGCUAACUACGUGCCAGCAGCCGCGGUAAUAC
rnacentral:rRNA from 1 species